AUACGGAGGGUGCGAGCGUUAAUCGGAAUUACUGGGCGUAAAGCGUACGUAGGCGGUUGGUUAAGUUAGAUGUGAAAGCCCCGGGCUUAACCUGGGAACUGCAUUUAAAACUGGCGAACUAGAGUUGAGUAGAGGGGAGUGGAACUUCAGGUGUAGCGGUGAAAUGCGUAGAGAUCUGAAGGAACACCAGUGGCGAAGGCGACUCCCUGGACUCGAACUGACGCUGAGGUACGAAAGCGUGGGUAGCAAACGGGAUUAGAAACCCUAGUAGUCC
rnacentral:rRNA from 1 species